rnacentral:rRNA from 1 species
GACAGAGGUGCCAAGCGUUAGGCGGAAUCACUGGGCUUAAAGCGUGUGUAGGCGGACUUGUAAGUAUCUUGUGAAAUCCCACGGCUCACCCGUGGAACUGCUGGAUAUACUGCGAGUCUUGAGCCACUUAGGGGCUGUCGGAACAGACGGUGGAGCGGUGAAAUGCGUAGAUAUCGUCUGGAACGCCAAAGGUGAAAACAGACAGCUGGGAGUGUGCUGACGCUGAGACACGAAAGCCAGGGGAGCGAACGGG